rnacentral:tRNA from 1 species
CGGGGCGUAGCGCAGCCUGGUUAGCGCACUUGACUGGGGGUCAAGGGGUCGGAGGUUCAAAUCCUCUCGCCCCGACCA